CUUGCAGAAACGUGCGAAGGUCUCUGAGGGCCUGGCCUCAGUCUGUGGAGCAAAUCCAGCUGCCCGAGCGCGUUCCCCGACCUGGGUGUUGAAUCCCUGCAGCUGCUCCUGCCGCACGUCCACCAGGAGGCUCUCGUCGUCUGCUUCGAUGCCGAAGGCCACGAAGGGCCCCGUGGCGAUGUCCCCCCAGUACCCGCGCGCUGCCACGCGCUCCCCGCGCUGGAAAAGGAGGCAGAGAGGAGGCGGAACAGAGGAACGAUUCCCCUGUUUCUCGGAUGGAAAAACUGAGGUUCCGAAAGCAGAAGCAACCUGCUGCCCCCAGGCCAAAUCCCACAGUGGGAGUCGGGGAACUGGGAUUCGAACUCCCGAACCCGCCGCCUGCUCCAUCAACACACGUCCUUUGGACUGCGCACUUCCAUUCUUCCCGCGGCCACCCGAUCCCAGAUGGAGGCCGGGCGGCGGCACCUUGAGGGCGCGGAGGCUGAGCCAGGGCAGCUGCUCCUCCAGGCGGUCCGGCUCGGGGACCAGAUGGAGUUUUGCUCUCGUUACCCAGGCUGGAGUGCAAUGGCACGAUCUCGGCUCACUGCAACCUCUGCCUCCCAGGAAAAUAACCAAACUUGUUCAUUGUACCAUUGAAAUGCCAGAAUCCCUCUAGGG